ACCAGUGUGGCUCAGUGGGUAGAGCGUCAGCCUGCGGACUGAAGGGUCCCGGGUUCGAUUCCUGGUCAAGGGCA
rfam:Myotis davidii contig2690, whole genome shotgun sequence.